UCCAGGGUAGCCUAGUGGACAUGGCAUGCCCGGUAAGCGGAACAUUGUGGGUUCGAUUCCCAUCCCUGGAC